rnacentral:rRNA from 1 species
AGUGAACGCUGGCGGUAGGCCUAACACAUGCAAGUCGAACGGCAGCACAGUAAGAGCUUGCUCUUACGGGUGGCGAGUGGCGGACGGGUGAGGAAUACAUCGGAAUCUACUUUUUCGUGGGGGAUAACGUAGGGAAACUUACGCUAAUACCGCAUACGACCUACGGGUGAAAGCAGGGGAUCUUCGGACCUUGCGCGAUCGAAUGAGCCGAUGUCGGAUUAGCUAGUUGGCGGGGUAAAGGCCCACCAAGGCGACGAUCCGUAGCUGGUCUGAGAGGAUGAUCAGCCACACUGGAACUGAGACACGGUCCAGACUCCUACGGGAGGCAGCAGUGGGGAAUAUUGGACAAUGGGCGCAAGCCUGAUCCAGCCAUACCGCGUGGGUGAAGAAGGCCUUCGGGUUGUAAAGCCCUUUUAUUGGGAAAGAAAAGCAGCAGGUUAAUACCCCGCUGUUCUGACGGUACCCAAAGAAUAAGCACCGGCUAACCUCGUG